rnacentral:rRNA from 1 species
GACGAACGCUGGCGGCGUGCCUAAUACAUGCAAGUCGAGCGCAGGAAACUGACGGAACUCUUCGGAGGGAAGGCAGUGGAAUGAGUGGCGGACGGGUGAGUAACACGUAAGGAACCUGCCUCAAGGAUUGGGAUAACUCCGAGAAAUCGGAGCUAAUACCGGAUAGUUCAACGGACCGCAUGGUCCGCUGAUGAAAGGCGCUUCGGCGUCACCUUGAGAUGGCCUUGCGGUGCAUUAGCUAGUUGGUGGGGUAACGGCCCACCAAGGCGACGAUGCAUAGCCGACCUGAGAGGGUGAUCGGCCACACUGGGACUGAGACACGGCCCAGACUCCUACGGGAGGCAGCAGUAGGGAAUCUUCCACAAUGGACGAAAGUCUGAUGGAGCAACGCCGCGUGAGUGAUGAAGGUUUUCGGAUCGUAAAACUCUGUUGUAAGGGAAGAACACGUACGAGAGGAAUGCUCGUACCUUGACGGUACCUUACGAGAAAGCCACGGCUAACUACGUGCCAGCCGCCGCAGUAA